rnacentral:rRNA from 2 species
GGAUCCAGACUUUGAUUCUGGCUCAGGAUGAACGCUGGCGGCAUGCCUAAGACAUGCAAGUCGAACGAAGGGGCCCAAUGAAAAGAAUUGAAGUUUGGAGUGUUUGCACAAAGAAUGGAUUGAAUUGGAUUUGGAAUUUCCCCUUAGUGGCAAACGGGUGAGUAACACGUGGGUUACCUGCCUCUAAGUUGGGGAUAACAGUUGGAAACGACUGAUAAUACCGAAUGUGCUCUACGGAGUAAAGAAGCCUUUAAAGCUUCGCUUAGAGAUGGGCCUGCGGCGUAUUAGCUAGUUGGUGGGGUAAUGGCCUACCAAGGCAACGAUGCGUAGCCGAACUGAGAGGUUGAUCGGCCACACUGGGACUGAGACACGGCCCAGACUCCUACGGGAGACAGCAGUUAGGAAUAUUCGUCAAUGGGGGAAACCCUGAACGAGCAAUGCCGCGUGAACGAUGACGGCCCUAUGGGUUGUAAAGUUCUGCUGUUUGGAAAGAACGAUAGAUAGAGGAAAUGCUAUCUAUGUGACGGUACCAUUCAAGAAAGCCACGGCUAACUACGUGCCAGCAGCCGCGGUAGUACGUAGGUGGCGAGCGUUAUCCGGAUUUAUUGGGCGUAAAGGGUGCGCAGACGGUUUAUUAAGUCUAAAAUCAAAUCUUGGGGCUCAACCCCAUUCCGUUUUAGAAACUGGUAGACUUGAGUAUGGUAGAGGCAAAUGGAAUUCCUAGUGUAGCGGUGGAAUGCGUAGAUAUUAGGAGGAACACCAGUGGCGAAGGCGAUUUGCUGGGCCAUUACUGACGUUCAUGCACGAAAGCGUGGGGAGCAAAUAGGAUUAGAUACCCUAGUAGUCCACGCCGUAAACGAUGAGUACUAAGUGUCGGGUUACCGGUGCUGAAGUUAACACAUUAAGUACUCCGCCUGAGUAGUACGGUCGCAAGGCUGCAACUCAAAGGAAUUGACGG